rnacentral:rRNA from 1 species
AUUGAACGCUGGCGGCAUGCCUUACACAUGCAAGUCGAACGGCAGCACGGGUGCUUGCACCUGGUGGCGAGUGGCGAACGGGUGAGUAAUACAUCGGAACAUGUCCUGUAGUGGGGGAUAGCCCGGCGAAAGCCGGAUUAAUACCGCAUACGAUCUACGGAUGAAAGCGGGGGACCUUCGGGCCUCGCGCUAUAGGGUUGGCCGAUGGCUGAUUAGCUAGUUGGUGGGGUAAAGGCCUACCAAGGCGACGAUCAGUAGCGGGUCUGAGAGGACGACCAGCCACACUGGGACUGAGACACGGCCCAGACUCCUACGGGAGGCAGCAGUGGGGAAUUUUGGACAAUGGGCGAAAGCCUGAUCCAGCAACGCCGCGUGUGUGAAGAAGGCCUUCGGGUUGUAAAGCACUUUUGUCCGGAAAGAAAUCCUUGGCCCUAAUACGGUCGGGGGAUGACGGUACCGGAAGAAUAAGCACCGGCUAACUACGUG